AUCCAAGCUUCGCCUCAAAAUAUUCGGAUUAGACACAAUAAGCUCAUGAAGGACCGGACCCACUAAGCCAUUGUCAUGGAGAUACUCUAUUUUAAGCUUGAGCUUAUCUACUUGGGAUUGGAGGAUCAGGGGAUACCUUGACACAAGUUUUGCAAUAUGGGUAUCGGAGAAUCCAAGAGGAUUGAGUAAUUCGAGCAUAGACUCAUGUUUUUGCUAUUUGUUUUCAUCAAGGUUGAGCUUCUGAGAGAUGGAAAUGGCAGAGUCCGAGGGAAGCCCACAAGAUUUCACAAGAAAUUGGGCUGUGUACGAUGGUGAUAAUAAUGUUGAAGAUGCAGAAGACAACGAAGAUAUAUACAGGGUUGGAGAUGUUGUGAGGAAACGUUUUUGCAUCAAACAAAGCAAAUUCUUCAAAGGAAGCUUAGCCAUUUCGACAGAGAUUGAUUCAAAAAAAGAAAGAUCUUACAAGAGAAAUUACCUGGAUUUGGCAUAUAGAGACCAAAGCACCUCAAAGCAAAACCCUAGACACCCUAGAAACCGCUGGGCAGAGACUCAUUAGUUGCAGAGCAGAGAAUCAAGAUGGAAUUGUAGGGGUUUAGGGUUUUUGACGUGAGGAAAGAGAACAACCAGAGGGUCACGUGAGGGGACUCUCUUCCACUCGCUCAUACUGACACUUUUCCCAUAGAAUGUAC
rnacentral:lncRNA from 1 species